rnacentral:rRNA from 1 species
AUGUUCUCGUCGCAGUCACUCAGCCGCAUCAACAACAUCCGCACAGCGCUGAUUAAUGCGCAGAAGGGCAAUCAAUCGGUGGCCACCUUCUUCGCCGCCAUGAGGGGUCUCGCCGAUGAACUCGCCGCGGUGGGAAAACCCAUCCAGGACGACGAGCUCAUCUCCUACAUCAUCCACGGGCUGGACCAAGAGUAUCAGCCCCUCGUCUCCGCACUAGAUGCCCGUUUCACCCCGGUAACCCUCAAUGAACUUUUUGCCAUGCUCAGUAACUUUGAUGAACGCAUGGUGCAGUAUCAUGGCUCCGGCGGUGGCUUCAAAUCGUCGGCCAACUCUGCAUCCAGAGGCCGCGGUGGUGGCUCUCGCUCGCGCUCAUCUUCCCGCGGCAAGGGGAGGUUUGGCGCCGGCGGUGGUGGCUACUCCAACAGCUCACGGUGGUUCCAACAGGUCCCGUCCAGACUUGCCUCGCUGCCAAAUCUGUGGCAAACCUGGUCAUACGGCAAAGGACUGUUGGUACCGCUACGAAGAAGAUGA